rnacentral:rRNA from 1 species
UAGGGAAUCUUCCACAAUGGGCGCAAGCCUGAUGGAGCAACGCCGCGUGAGUGAAGAAGGUCUUCGGAUCGUAAAACUCUGUUGUUAGAGAGGAACACGAGUGAGAGUAACUGUUCAUUCGAUGACGGUAUCUAACCAGCAAGUCACGGCUAACUACGUGCCAG